GCCCUCGUAGCUCAGCGGAAAGAGCGGCGGCCUUCUAUGCCGUGGGGCGGAGGUUCGACUCCUCCCGAGGGCA
rnacentral:tRNA from 1 species